GACGAACGCUGGCGGCGUGCUUAACACAUGCAAGUCACGGGGGCCCGGUAGCAAUAUCGGGCAACCGGCGAACGGGUGCGUAACACGUGAGCAAUCUGCCGAUCUCUGGGGGAUAGCCGGCCCAACGGCCGGGUAAUACCGCAUACGCUCAUUGAGGGGAGUCCCCCGAUGAGGAAACCUCCGGGGGAGAUCGAGGAGCUCGCGACCUAUCAGCUAGUUGGCGGGGUAAUGGCCCACCAAGGCGGUGACGGGUAGCUGGUCUGAGAGGAU
rnacentral:rRNA from 1 species